rnacentral:rRNA from 1 species
CAGAGGUCUCAAGCGUUGUUCGGAUUCAUUGGGCGUAAAGGGCGCGUAGGUGGCGCUGUAAGUCAGAUGUGAAAUUUCGGAGCUUAACUCCGAAACUGCAUUUGAUACUGCGGUGCUUGAGGACUGGAGAGGAGAUUGGAAUUCACGGUGUAGUAGUGAAAUGCGUAGAUAUCGUGAGGAAGACCAGUGGCGAAGGCGGAUCUCUGGACAGUUCCUGACACUGAGGCACGAAGGCCAGGGGAGCAAACGGG